CUGCCAUUGCCAGGGUGACGUUAACAAAAAGAAAGUCAGAGUAGGAACAGCUGCUUUCUUCUCCUGCCUGCCAGUUACUCUCUAGUGCCCCCUGUUGACAGAAUGUAGUGCCUUCUUUGACUCCAGCGUGAACAUUCAAAGUCCAGUGCAGUGUUUUGGCACAUCAAUCAAGUAACCAACAUGAAAUCUGCUACACAGGAGGCAUGGCAGCAUUUGCUUCUGAAGAGGGCUCAGGGAGAUUUUACUCAUGGUGGAAGACAAAGUGGGAUCUGGCACCUUACAUGGCAGGAGCAGAAGACAGAGGUGAUGCUUCACACUUUUAAACAACCAGCUCUCAGAACUCACCCACUUUCAACCUCUU
ensembl:lncRNA